UCGUUUCUUACCCCUCGACUACAAAAUUAUCAGGAACGAUACAGAGAAGAUUAGCAUGGCCCCUGCACAAGGAUGACACGCACGAUCAGAUGGGUUGCACUUCGGUGCUCAAUUUUUUU
rnacentral:snRNA from 1 species